UACCAACACCACUCUCACCAUCGCUCCACAUGGCACAAUCACAACCACAAUCCCCACAACCACCACCCCCACAACCUCGGCCACCACAACCCCCAUCACCAUAACCCCAUCACCACAACCCCCACCACCAAAACAAACCCCACAACUGUUGCUGUUAUUGGGACUUGUGUGCCGCUGGUGUUCAUCCGCAUCAAUUUAGUGCAAGUGAUCAGUGUAAAAAUAAAAAUAAGUUGGCAACAUGAGGAUACGAACUUGAAUCCCAAUUAUAACGCCGCCAUCUUCGUCAGUGGCACCGAGCAACCAAUUGAAACAAUUGAAACAAAAGAGAGUAACGCGACGUUCCAAAACCUGGAGCCUGACACAGUUUACGAGAUCCGCACGUCAACAACCACAUGCGACAUUACGCAGUCAAUAAACAUUGACAAAGUUCUGACAACGGGCAAGGUGUUGGAGGCACAAACAAGAAUUACAAAUGAGCCUUUCAUCGAGGACUACAGAAACUCAAGUAG